GCCAGCUAGCUCAGUUGGUAGAGCAUGAGAGUCUUAAUCUCAGGGUCGUGGGUUUGUGCCCCACAUUGGGCG
rnacentral:tRNA from 1 species